UUAGGGCACAAGUUACCAGGGAUCUGUUACAGAACCUGGCAUUACAUGAAUCAAUAAGGCUAUUUUAAAUUAACUUCUGGACAAUCUCUUUACCUAACUACUUUUACAGGGAACCAAACCUUGAGGUGUGGUGUUUUAUAUCUGGGCAAAGAUCACUUCUAUCACGCAGCGGGUAUACAUUAUUAUACUGACAAUUAUACUACCACUAAGAGUUGCUAUAAAGUGAAGCUCCAUAUUAAUUGACUUCUAGAAAGUCCCUUAAUUUUAAUCGGACCUUCUGUGAAGUAACAUUUCAGAAAGCUAGGUACCAGCACUAGGGAAGCAAGGCUGAGAAACGUGAAGGCUCAACGAACUGUUUUCAAUCCUCUCUCCUGGACUACCGCCACCGAGCGCCAGAUGCCAGAGGCGUAGUUGCCCCAAGCCCUGUGACCUAACAGGAGUUUCAGGGGAGAACAAGAAAAGCUAGCAGCGUAGUGGGAUCAUUAGGAUUUAGGGUUUAGCUAGCUAGGGGAAACGAGGUCUAGACCUGGGUAGAUACCUGCAUGGCUCCCACGGCACGCAUGGCUCCCACGGCA
rnacentral:lncRNA from 1 species